rnacentral:rRNA from 1 species
CCUGGCGGCUGUAGCGCGGUGGUCCCACCUGACCCAUGCCGAACUCAGAAGUGAAACGCCGUAGCGCCGAUGGUAGUGUGGGGUCUCCCCAUGCGAGAGUAGGGAACUGCCAGGC